UGAAAUCUAUAUAUAUUAUUUAACAAACAUGGAGUGGCUUCUGGUAUUUAUUAUUGGCUGUAUUGUUGGAUAUCUAGUAUCGCAGCAUACAUAGAUGCGGUUUUUACAAAUUGGACUAGAAAAAUUCAAAAGUAAAUGUAUUCCACAGUCGGCAUUCUACUUGACCUGUACGUUUCGUGUACUCUAAAAUAUUCAAAAUUUUGCGUUCAAAUCCGCUGAGAUUCUAUUUCUAUUAGAAAAUAUGCAACGCUUUAUCACUUUCAUUGUUGGAGGAAUCGUUGGUUUCCUCGUCGCCAAGAAUACCCGUUAAACAUAAUGGCCUAUGUCAUCUGCUUCGGAUUGGGCAUGGUUUUUGGCAUGUUUGUAUGCCGACGUUGCGAGGCGUGAUUGAGACGAAUUAUGGACCUUGUAACUGACCUGCAGGAAUUCAAGAUCUAGAGUGCCAUCUUCUGACAUAUGGAUAUUUAAUAAACGGUUCAAGACAUUAAA